GUUUUGAUAACUGUGUUUGAAUGGGUUUGUUAGCUUUCACAUGGAUGCACCAAGCAGGCUAGAUACUGAGCCAUGGGAAGCAGAGCAUCAAAAGACCUGCAUAACAAGGUUAGUAGCAAAAAAACAUCUAGAACACUGUUUAACCUCUUCCUGACAUCUGCCAUGUCCUUCCUUUCCUUGUGCCUCAACAUAACCCAAAACGAUCAAUGGGGGCAAUCACAUGUGUGGUGCUGAUGUGAUGAUUCAAGAAAACAGAAUUAUCGACCAAUCCAGUGUGAAGAAUAAAGGAAAAAAGAGGCUACAAUCAAAUGCAGAUGAAAAUGAGACGUCUAUUGCUUCGCAGAGAGAAGACAAAUAAACACAAUUAAGGGAUUAAUCAUUUUUCUGCAUUCUCUUUCAAGGACAUAUUCACUGGAGUCCGAGCAAUAUGUAACAUGAUAUAUCAAAGUGAUUUGUUCAAAAUUACCAGUUUGUCUAAUUUUUAUUAUUGCGAUGAGCUAAAGAUGAAAUUUCCACAGCAGUUCAGAAAUUGCUUUGUAAUGAUAAACUCUGUGUCUAUCCACAUUGGCAUGAAGGAGAAAUCAGCCUAAUUAAACAAACAACAACAGCAAAAUUGCAGUAAAUUAGUAGUACUGUAUAUAAAAUGAUUUUUUUGUGCUAACCGGGGGCCAAAAUACCAUUAUAAACAUCACUUCUUAACUGUUCUCAACACCUAUAUGGAACACACAUGUUGGUUGGCCAGCUCUGUAGUAUGCAGUCACCAAGACAGAGGCCCUCAUUUACUAAGCCUAACCCAACAUUUUUUUUUUAUAGUGGUUUGCAGACUAAAUAUCGGCACAUGCCUGUGCGACAAUGUCUGUGACAUUGGCCCUGAUUUACUAUUGUAAACCUGACCUGUUUUGUCGUGUUGUGCACCAGAAAUUCUGUCUGCACCUGAAUUUGCACUAAAAUUGAAAAACAAAAAAACAACUAUCUCUCCACUUUACUGAGAAAAACCGAAAAGGAGCAAGACCAUUGGGGAAAGUGGGCGUGGGUGCCGAAAAGGGGCAUGUGCCCAACAUUUUCACAAAAACCCAACAUAUUUACUAAGGUUUCCACAGAAAAUGUGGUGGAUUUGAGAUGAGGAAAACCCUACAGAUCAGAGCAUGUGUAAAAAAAAGCAAAGUAUAGGGAAAGUGCAAAAUGUUGGGAAACCUUAGUGAAUACUGUGAAAUAAAAAUUUUAGGGAAUUGAAACCCACAAAGAAAACUAUACUCCCAACUACAAACCAAAUGUCAGAAAUCACUCGGAAAUCACUCGGAGAGUCUACUAAUCUAAAAAAAAACGACAUUUUCCCAAAACCCCUCUGUUUCUUGUCCAUAACCCGAUGAAAAAACAGAGAAGAGGGGAUUGUGAAAACUCCACUGCCAGAGGUUGGUGUAAAAACAGGUCGAAUGGUUGGAACUUCCAAAGCAUGGUUAUUAUGGCCAAUAUGCAUAAACCCAAAUUAUAAAGACUCGUUCACUUAACUCACCUUUCAUCCGUUAAUAGUAUAUAUGGACAAAACUGUGCAACUAGGUGUGAAAUUUGCACUAAAUGUGUAUUUUAAAUGCUGUUGUUUUUGAUGUUUGCAUUGUUUAAUGGUAGUACUUUCUAACAUUAUCUGUGGUUUAUUAAAUAGGUAUUGCACAACUUUAUUUGUAGUAUUGCCAACAUAAUCCACUUUUAGCCUUUUCUUACACCUGGUCUGUAGAAUGUCGUCACUAUGGCUCGCAGCCUCUGUGUAAAAAUGCAUGCUCAAAUGGUAUUCCAACAUUUUGUAAAUGAUUUCUCAGGAAUUUGGCAAAUAUUUUGGAGAUUUCAUGCAUUGUUGGUUGUUGGGGUGGUGUCUAUUGCCUCAGAUUCUCACAUACCGGAAGAUAAACAGUUUUUUCCCCGUGUUUUUUGUCCUUUCCGUUUAGGAUUUAGAAAAAACUGUGUGCGCCAAAAAAAUAAAAUAAACAAAAGGACUCUAAAAGAAAAACUGAGGACAAAAAUGACCUGACAACCAAAAACCAUGCACUCUUAGUAAAUAAGGGCCAGAGUCUUGGUGACUGCAUACUACAGUGCUACCGGCACUUUGUGUGCUGCCACAUGGUGCACUUUGCUCCACUUUUUUACUAGGUUAUUUUUGGUUGUUCUAUGCUGUAACAUUACAUGCAAUGGCGAAUGCCAUGCUUGUACCCUGUGUAUGGCUGGGUUCACAUAUAUCAGUCGUCCGGCAAAGUUUCCCUCCGGCGUGCACCGGAGGGAAACUGAUGCUAGAACUGAUCCCUUGGAAACAACCAAGUCAUGGUUUAACAGAGGCUUUACUGAGUUAAGACAUGUGUAAUUAUCUUCACAGCUAGGCCAAAAUCCCAGAGAGUCAACCAGUAACAUGGAAAGGGCCCUGCAGCUUGCUGGGACUUGUAGUUAUUGUAAUAGACUUUAGUUCAGCCAGGCAGACUAGAAUAGACUUGAUCAGUGUCUUGACUUUAGUAGAGACAGCAGACAUAGAUGAGAUGACUUACUGACAAUGUGGCUGGUGUGCAGGCUUUGUGGCCUCCAAGUGUACUGGACACAGGAUCUGUGAAGUCCGUGCUUUGCUGUCCUCAGCAGAAAGAGAGAGAAUUAUAAUGGCCGCCUCCUUAUAUAGAGGGGGGCUGUGCCAAAGCCCAUUGGUCAAGCUGCGGGUCAUGUGUUAAUCUUGUGCCCUCUGGGUAACAUGUGAUAACAUAAACAUAACAUGUGACAUCUCACAGAUCCUUUAGAUGACCUCUCACAGGUCCUUUAUACUAACUAUACAUUAAUACACUGACUACAAUUCUAUUACAAUAAAUGACUGUAUAGUAACAGCAGGGGAGACACUGCAGGAGAGCCCCCAGGUCACUGAAGGACUCAACCUGACAUGGAAUAAGUGUAGUGCAGGACCAUGUCCUGUACUGGAACAUUACACAUUUUUUUCCACUGCUGAAAUGUUUCAGUGUGAAUGGGUCAGUCCCAUUUACACCAAUGGUUAGGCUUGUUCAGCGGAAUUCCUGAGCACAAUUACACCCUACCAUAGAAAUUCCUGUAGGGUGAACCCUAAGUGGUCUCUACUUAGCAAGCAGUGUCACCUAGCUAGUGUGUGCGUCCUAGAUAAAGCAUUGUGGAGACUAUCCCCUCCUAUGUUGGUUCCCAUAGUCUAAUUUAAACCAUGGAUAUAGAGGGGAAUUUAUUAAAACCUGUUAAGAGGAAAAGUUGUUGAGUUAUAGUAGUAGGUGCAGUUAUUCAUGUGAUAAUGGGAUUGAACUGUUUGGCAUUUUUACAGUUACUUUUUACAACUAUUGGUCACAUAAUACUAUAGUGUUUAACUAUAGUGGUGUCAUUAAAUAUGUAAUACUGUAGUUAAGCCAAACUUUUUAAGGUAUAGCAUUUAUUUAUACAUGCUUUUAAUGGGAGUUAAAUUAUUGAUUGUUUGUUAUUUUAAGCACUCAUUUAUGCAUUGUGUUUUGUAUUUACAAUCAUAAUUCGGAAUUAUGUGACAGUAACUUUGCUAUACUUUGCGUCAUUGUUGUACUGAAUUAUUAAUGCAGUUUAGUGAUAUUAUGUUCGAUAUAUGUGCUUGUUUUGCCGAAAAUUUAAAUGAUAUUAUUAAGGCUUGGUUGUGACAAAUUUGUUUACAUGCACGGUGCUAGAUACUGUGGUUGUGCCUCUAUUUUUCAUAUGUAUGAUUCGUUUUUAUGUACAUUGGUUUUAAUAUGAUUUACUAAAGAUUUACAUAUUUUAAUAAAUUA